CGUGGAUCGGACAAAAAGGCAAAAAGGACACAACAUUACCAAGCAAUCCCUAGAAUAAAAACCCCAAGGACAUUGAAAAAGAGUGAGUCCAAAACCAACCUGGCGCAGGGGACUAAAAACUGAGCUGAACAAAAUUGGGAAGACCUGGAAAGAAACAAAAUGAACAGCCAUGAUCAGGAAGAAAUGGAGAUAACCUAUGCCCCCC
rnacentral:lncRNA from 1 species